GCCUCAGUAGCUCGUAUAGAAGAGCACGCCCUUGGUAAGGGUGAGGUAGGUGGUGCAAGUCCACCGUGGGGCU
rnacentral:tRNA from 1 species